UACGAAGGGUGCAAGCGUUACUCGGAAUUACUGGGCGUAAAGCGUGCGUAGGUGGUUUGUUAAGUCUGUUGUGAAAGCCCCGGGCUCAACCUGGGAAUGGCAAUGGAUACUGGCAAGCUAGAGUGCGGUAGAGGGUAGUGGAAUUCCCGGUGUAGCGGUGAAAUGCGUAGAGAUCGGGAGGAACACCAAUAGCGAAGGCAGCUCGCUGGGACGUUACUGACACUGAGGCGCGAAAGCGUGGGAGCGAACAGG
rnacentral:rRNA from 1 species